UACGGAGGGGCAAGCGUUGUUCGGAAUUACUGGGCGUAAAGCGCACGUAGGCGGAUUUUAAGUCAGGGGUGAAAUCCCGGGGCUCAACCUCGGAACUGCCUUUGAUACUGGAGAUCUUGAGUCCGGAAGAGGUAAGUGGAACUGCGAGUGUAGAGGUGAAAUUCGUAGAUAUUCGCAAGAACACCAGUGGCGAAGGCGGCUUACUGGUCCGGAACUGACGCUGAGGUGCGAAAGCGUGGGGAGCAAACAGG
rnacentral:rRNA from 1 species